rnacentral:snoRNA from 1 species
GAGCGCUGAUGGCCCAACGUGCCAUCUGAGUUACACUGCUGAAAUCCAGAGGCUGUUUCUGAGCUG